CGCAGCCGCGGUAAUUCCAGCUCCAAUAGCGUAUAUUAAAGUUGUUGCAGUUAAAAAGCUCGUAGUUGAAUUUCGGAAUCAAUUUGUUGGUCGUACCUUGGUACGUACUGGCAUUAUUGGUUUCUCCCUUCUGAGAAUCCUUGAUGUCAUUAAUUUGGUGUCUUGGGGAAUCAGGACUGUUACCUUGAAAAAAUUAGAGUGUUUAAAGCAGGCAUCCGCUUGAAUACAUUAGCAUGGAAUAAUGAAAUAGGACGUUCGAUUCUAUUUUGUUGGUUUCUAGGAUCGAUGUAAUGAUUAAUAGGGAUAGUUGGGGGCAUUAGUAUUCAAUUGUCAGAGGUGAAAUUCUUGGAUUUAUUGAAGACUAACUACUGCGAAAGCAUUUGCCAAGGAUGUUUUCAUUAAUCAAGAACGAAAGUUAGGGAUCGAAGACGAUCAGAUACCGUCGUAGUCUUAAACCAUAAACUAUGACCGACUAGGGAUCGGAUGAUGUUAAUUUUUAAUGUACUUCAUUCGGCGCCUU
rnacentral:rRNA from 1 species